UAUACACGUAAGUCAACUCCAACUCUGAUGGAUGGGUACGUAGGUAGCCAUUUUGAGGAUUUUGAGGUAUUCGCAGCAGGUUGUGGUUUUAGGAGGAAGAGUUAUAGACAGAGUGUUAAGUGUGGUGUGAAUGAAUACAUCAAGCAAAAGUGGUAUCUGAAGAAUAUGCGUCGUCGUUAUCAGAUCUCGCCAAGAACAGCAAGGCGAUGAUCAGCAUGUUGUCGAUGGUUGCAGAUGAAAAUAUCAUGCAUGCCCCCAUAAUCGCCCAGACAUUGGAAAAACAUCUUCAAAAGGUGGAUAAGGAAACACGGACCCAGAUGUUCAUAUUACGUGAAACUUGAAAUAAAGUGUUCCCGCCAGAGAAGCUGCAUGCAGUAGAUGUACGUGUAAAUGCAGUUGAUCCAGCAUGGCCAAUCACAGCUGUGCCUCCUACCAUAAAUGUGAAUCCAAAGUGUUUUCGUCAGGCACUGCCAGCUUCUAAUUCCCAGCCUUCUUCCACUGCUGUGACCGCUACCCCUCCAGCUACACCAGCAGUUCCUGCCACAGCCAUGGAAGGUCCGCAUACAAUUAAUGAGGCCAAAAUGAGUGAGCAGUGGCUUAAGAAGCAGAAGGAUCUGCUUGAAUGUCAGAGAAAAUUGGAAUUGGAAUUGGAUUUGCUUCAGUCAAAAGCAAGAUUAGAAGAACAGCAGAAAGAGUUAGAGAGACAGACUGGACAUCUGCAGUCUGAGCAGGUAAGAGUGAGGAGCUGCCAUAGUGUUGUGCACAGUUUUUAAUAUAAAUACUAAUGACCUACCUUACUGCCUGCUACACAGUUCUGCAGCAGGCAGUUAUUGUUCAACUUUUGAAGAAAUUCCCUGUUGUUAAAACAGCACAGUUCAGUGGCAUCCUUAAGAAAAUCUUUCAUUUCCUUUGUCCUAAGCCAAAUGAAUGCAGGUAACAUCUCUAAUCAUUCUGUGUUGAAUUCUGUUGUAAAAAAUUUUCUGUUUAUUUAUUCGUGUGGGAACUUGUACAUUUAAUGUGCAGAAACUUAAAAAUUUGUUCCCUGGUGCAUCAUGAGAUGGCAGAACAAGCCAUUUUAAUCCAUAUGUAGGCAAGCCCUGUUUCAAGGUAUUGUGUUGUUCUUGUAGCCUGGAAAGUGUUUGGAAUUUAUUUCUCCAAUGUCUGAGUCUGCAUAUUUUUCACUCUGUGCAUGGUAUCAGUUGCAGCUUGAGGGAGGUCAAGGAAGAUUGUCCCUAUGCUUAAAUGAAAAUCAUGAAAUAUCCCAUUAUGUAAUUUUCUUGAUUCUUAUUUUUUUUGUUAUUAUCAUGUGUGACAAGUGUAUGGAGCAGAUUCCUCAGGAGCUAAUAUUCUCUGAGCUAUUCAAGAAAUUGUCCACCUUUUGUAGAACCUGGGGUUGAUAGCAAUGCCCCCAUAAUGAUGAAUCCCAUAGCAUCAGUUCACAUAUCCAUUUUAACAUUGCCUUGCCAUUUACACUAAAAUCUCCGAAGAGGUCUCUUCCUUUCAGGUUUCUCCAUUUAAGUUCAUAUCUCUGUGGUCUAGUAGUCAAGAGUUCCUG